rnacentral:rRNA from 1 species
AUUGAACGCUGGCGGCAUGCUUUACACAUGCAAGUCGAACGAGUGGCGGACGGGUGAGUAAUGCCUCGGAACCUGCCUGAUGAUGGGGGAUAACUGUCCGAAAAGGUAGCUAAUACCGCAUAUGCUUCGAGCGGCCCAGGUGGGAUUAGCUGGUUGGUGGGGUAACGGCCCACCUAGGCGACGAUCAGUAGCGGGUCUGAGAGGAUGACCCGCCACACGGGGACUGAGACACGGCCCAGACUCCUACGGGAGGCAGCAGUGGGGAAUUUUGGACAAUGGGCGCAAGCCUGAUCCAGCCAUGCCGCGGGUCUGAAGAAGGCCUUCGGGUUGUAAAGCACUUUCAGCGGGGAGGCGUUACCCGCAGAAGAAGCACCGGCUAACUCCGUGCCAGCAGCCGCGGUAAUAC